rnacentral:rRNA from 1 species
AUUGCCUCAGUAGCGGCGAGUGAAGCGGCAAGAGCUCAGAUUUGAAAUCUCACCUAGUGUGCGAGUUGUAAAUUGCAGGUUGGAGUCUCGGGUUAGACGUGUGUGCAAGUCCCUUGGAACAGGGUGCCACUGAGGGUGAGAGCCCCGUAUCGUGCAUGUCGACACCUGUGAGGCCCUUCUGACGAGUCGAGUUGUUUGGGAAUGCAGCUCUAAGUGGGUGGUAAAUUCCAUCUAAGGCUAAAUAUUGGCGAGAGACCGAUAGCGAACAAGUACUGUGAAGGAAAGAUGAAAAGCACUUUGAAAAGAGAGUGAAACAGCACGUGAAAUUGUUGAAAGGGAAGGGUAUUGGGCUCGACAUGGGAUUUACGCAUCGUUGCCUCUCGUGGGCGGCGCUCUGGGUUUUUCCUGGGCCAGCAUCGGUUUUCGUUGCAGGAUAAGGACAAUUGGAAUGUGGCUCCUCGGAGUGUUAUAGCCUUUUGUAGAUGCUGCGUAUGGGGACCGAGGGCUGCGGCGGACUCGUUUCGUCUCGGAUGCUGGCACAACGGCGCAAUACCGCCCGUCUG